rnacentral:lncRNA from 10 species
AGCCCAAGUAGAUGGCACACGCAGUGCCCAGCAGAAGGUUUCUCCGGGUCCUUGGACGCCGGCUGCUCCAGAGCUUACGCACCCGCGGGACGCACAGGGAGCAGAUGAACCAGUUUAUGAGCUGCCCCGGCUUGUCUGGACAGGUCAUUUCUCUGCCGCAUCCACAUGUUGAACGGAGUUUAAAGUCUGCAGUUGGCUCCUGCUAAUGUGAUGCAUGGUUUCCUGACUUCAGCUGCCGCGUCCGCUUCGGGAUGAAAUGACCAGUGCUUUGGUUAAGAAUGCACAUUAUACUGCAGUUCUUUGGGGAAUGAAGCCACCCUUGACUGAGGAGACACGGCACAGAAGACAGAGGCAGAAGCAGCUUUAUUGAAAAACAGAGCAUGAGUAGAACGACUUCAAAUCCCAUAUGGCACCACAGUGAGAAGUAACUUCCUCUGAGCUUCUUAGAGAAUCCAACAAUGUCCUGCUUCCUUGGGGAGCUGCAGCCAUGGGCACAUGGGAAUAGGGCUUCCACCAAGAGUCCCGUCAGUCACAGCAACAGGAGGUCUUCCUCAGACAACUUUGAUGAUAGUGGUUGUUAGCCAGAGCAAGCUAGAACCAGAAAGAAAAACUAUGAAGAUGCCACAGUGGGAGUCUGAGCACCUUGAGGCCUCCUGUUGGAAACUGGCAAACCUAACUGUGGGACACUUGGA